rnacentral:rRNA from 1 species
ACGAACGCUGGCGGCGUGCUUAACACAUGCAAGUCGAACGGAAAGGCCCUGCUUUUGUGGGGUGCUCGAGUGGCGAACGGGUGAGUAACACGUGAGUAACCUGCCCUUGACUUUGGGAUAACUUCAGGAAACUGGGGCUAAUACCGGAUAGGAGCUCCUGCUGCAUGGUGGGGGUUGGAAAGUUUCGGCGGUUGGGGAUGGACUCGCGGCUUAUCAGCUUGUUGGUGGGGUAGUGGCUUACCAAGGCUUUGACGGGUAGCCGGCCUGAGAGGGUGACCGGCGAGAGGGGGAGGGGCGGACGGCACGGACUGCGGGGGGAGGGGGGAGGGGAGAAUGUGGCACGGUGGGAGGAGGGGUGCGCACGCAGGGGGGGGGGGGGGAGGACGGCCUGCGGGUUGAAAGCGGUUUUCGGGUGUGGGGAAGGGGGAGGAAAGGAAGUGGGAAAAGAGGCACGGGAAAACGGCGGGGCAGCAGCCGGGAAAAUAAUCGCACACCAGAGGUCUGACC